rnacentral:rRNA from 1 species
AGUGGACGCUGGCGGUAGGCCUAACACAUGCAAGUCGAACGGCAGCACAGUAAGAGCUUGCUCUUACGGGUGGCGAGUGGCGGACGGGUGAGGAAUACAUCGGAAUCUACUUUUUCGUGGGGGAUAACGUAGGGAAACUUACGCUAAUACCGCAUACGACCUACGGGUGAAAGCAGGGGAUCUUCGGACCUUGCGCGAUUGAAUGAGCCGAUGUCGGAUUAGCUAGGUGGCGGGGUAAAGGCCCACCAAGGCGACGAUCCGUAGCUGGUCUGAGAGGAUGAUCAGCCACACUGGAAGUGAGACACGGUCCAGACUCCUACGGGAGGCAGCAGUGGGGAAUAUUGGGCAAUGGGCGCAAGCCUGAUCCAGCCAUACCGCGUGGGUGAAGAAGGCCUUAGGGUUGUAGAGCCCUUUUGUUGGGAAAGAAAAGCAGCAGGUUAAUACCCCGCUGUUCUGACGGUACCCAAAGAAUAAGCACCGGCUAACUUCGUG